AUACGAACCGGACAAACGUUAUUCGGAAUUAUUGGGCUUAAAGGGUGCGUAGGCGGCGCGGUAAGUGAGGUGUGAAAGCCCACGGCUCAACCGUGGAAUUGCGCUUCAUACUGCCGUGCUAGAGGGAGUCAGAGGUAAGCGGAACUGAUGGUGGAGCGGUGAAAUGCGUUGAUAUUAUCAGGAACACCGGUGGCGAAAGCGGCUUACUGGGUCUCUUCUGACGCUGAGGCACGAAAGCUAGGGUAGCGAACGGGAUUAGAAACCCCAGUAGUCC
rnacentral:rRNA from 1 species